UACGUAGGGGGCUAGCGUUGUCCGGAUUUAUUGGGCGUAAAGAGCGUGUAGGCGGCCAGGUAGGUCUGCUGUGAAAACUCGAGGCUCAACCUCGAGACGUCGGCGGAAACCGUCUGGCUAGAGUCCGGAAGAGGCAAGUGGAAUUCCUGGUGUAGCGGUGGAAUGCGCAGAUAUCAGGAGGAACACCCAUAGCGAAGGCAGCUUGCUGGGACGUUACUGACGCUAAGGCGCGAAAGCGUGGGGAGCGAACAGG
rnacentral:rRNA from 1 species